GCCCUCGUAGCCCAACGGUAGAGGCGCCGGACUCAGAAUCCGGCCAGUCCAGGUUCGAAUCCUGGUGGGGGCA
rnacentral:tRNA from 1 species